GCUGCAGCCCCUAAUACUCUCCAUUGCCCCUUGGAGAGGGAGGGAAUGAGGCAGAAAUGUCGAGCAGUAGCAGGUUGUUGCUCAGAGGGAAGAGAAGGUAGAAGUUUGAUCUUGUGAAACACGUUCCAAAGUUCCUAAGGAAAGUAUUCCGCUGAGCCUCGUUGCAAACUGGCCAUUAGCAGGAUUACAUCUUUAUAUCCACAGAGCAAAUAAGUGGAACUGAAAGGAACACUUUCAGAGGAAGGAGAAUCACUCCCUGAACUGUUUUAGAUGUUAGCAGCAGCAAGACACAAACAAUGCAGACACGUUGAGAGAACUCCUCAGGAAGCGAGCACAUCCAGCACCAGCACCUUGCAGAGGGAAAACCAUCUGACAGAUCAUCUUCUGUGCUUGUACAAGCCUGGUUUCCAACCCCAAAGCAUCUCACAGGUUACCAAGUGCUGCAGAGAGUGCUGCUCCUACAAAACCCCUCUUCUCAACUUUCUCAUUUUUCCCUGAACAAGUUAUUCAUCAUUAAAAGCAAACAGGCACGCAGCCCUCAGGAGACUCAGGGCUUCUCAUCACCAGACGUGUCAGUAUAAAUCUGUCCCCAGGGCUCUGGGUGGUGCAGGGUGGCCAGCUGCACAGGCACCCUGCUCGGCGAUCAGCUGGAACGUAACGCAGCAGUUGCCAGAUAAGUCACUUACUGAUUUAUUGAAUGGAGCAGUGGGGGAUGAAAAAACAUUUCUUUGUGCCUUAAUAUAGAGGCAAGGGAGACAAGCACCAAAAUUCAGUGUCUGGAGGAGCUGGCAAAGCCUUUCUGAAGUGUUUGUGUGACAUUAGUGCUGGGAAGUGUUUGCAGAGGUCCCUGGUGCUUUUGCCUGCUUCUGCUUUCCAGAUUGCCGGGCCUGCCGUUAUGCUAUCUGCCAAAGUGCCUGCAGAAAUGUGCUCUCCCACUUGUGCAAUCCCGCUUGUAGUGAUGUUGGCUCUGCUUGCAGCAGCAUCAGUGGUGGUCUGUGCCUAUUGUGUUGCUAAAUAUGUAAUAUGCAGGCUCCACAGCUGAGAUUCAAAUUGCUUCAUGUCGCUGUUCACUUAAGUCUGAAUGCAGAUGUUGCUGUUUACCAUAACGAGGUUUACCUUUUUCCCUGUUUGCUCCCUUCCAUCUUGUGCCUUGUAUGGCUUUCCUUUGCAACGAUGACACAUUUCCACGGUGAAAUGACAGCUCAUAGGGAAACAAAUGGAAGGAAAGACUGAAUGAUCUCAAAUCAAGUGAGAAGCCCAGCAAUGAUAAAAGCUUCCUACGACACCAGCAGUAGCUUAUGCAUUUGUGUGCAUUUGUGCAUGUGUGGGUGGGUAUAUAAGAAAGGAAGAAAAUCUUUGGUUUUGAAGUCUCAGGUCCUUUGCAACAAGAUAAUGAUUUCAGGCUGAAAGGAGCAUUUGACUGAUCUUCUAAUGGAAUUCUUGGGCAGAAAAGAUUUAUUCAGAAAAGUGGAAAUUAGAGAUAACUGAUAACAGCACU
rnacentral:lncRNA from 1 species